AGGCAAAUCCCAAAAAUAAACGUCCCAGUUCGGACUGUAGUCUGCAACCCGACUACACGAAGCUGGAAUCGCUAGUAAUCGCGGAUCAGCACGCCGCGGUGAAUACGUUCCCGGGCCUUGUACACACCGCCCGUCACACCAUGAGAGUCUGUAACACCCAAAGCCGGUGGGAUAACCUUUAUAGGAGUCAGCCGUCUAAGGUAGGACAGAUGAUUAGGGUGAAGUCGUAACAAGGUAGC
rnacentral:rRNA from 1 species